rnacentral:rRNA from 1 species
CCUACGGGUGGCAGCAGUGAGGAAUAUUGGGCAAUGGGGGCAACCCUGACCCAGCCAUGCCGCGUGAGUGAAGAAGGUCUUCGGAUUGUAAAGCUCUUUCGGACGUGACGAUGAUGACGGUCGCGUCUAAAGAAGCACCGGCAAACUUCGUGCCAGCAGCCGCGGUAAUACGAAGGGUGCGAGCGUUGUUCGGAAUUACUGGGCGUAAAGGAAGUGUAGGCGGAUAUGUAAGAUAGCGGUGAAAUGCCGGGGCUCAACCCCGGAACUGCCAUUAUGACUAUGUAUCUAGAGUAAUGGAGAGGAUAGCGGAAUACCCAGUGUAGCGGUGAAAUGCAUAGAUAUCACACAGAACACCGAUUGCGAAGGCAUCUCACGAAUCCGCGAUUGACGCUGAUGCACGAAAGCGUGGGUAUCAAACAGGAUUAGAUACCCUAGUAGUC